AUACGGAGGAUCCGAGCGUUAUCCGGAUUUAUUGGGUUUAAAGGGUGCGCAGGCGGCCAUUUAAGUCAGCGGUUAAAUCGUGGGGCUCAACCCCAUUCUGCCGUUGAUACUGGGUGGCUUGAUUGCGGUCGAGGUUGGCGGAAUUCGUUGUGUAGCGGUGAAAUGCGUAGAUAUGACGAAGAACACCGAUUGCGUAGGCAGCUGACCAGACCGCAAAUGACGCUCAUGCACGAAAGUGCGGGGAUCGAACAGGAUUAGAUACCCUGGUAGUCCGCACAGUAAACGAUGAAUACUUGUUUUCGGCGAUAUAAUGUCGGAGGCAAAGCGAAAGCGAUAAGUAUUCCACCUGGGGAGUACGCCGGCAACGGUGAAACUUAAAGGAAUUGACGGGG
rnacentral:rRNA from 1 species